rnacentral:rRNA from 1 species
UACGAAGGGUGCAAGCGUUACUCGGAAUUACUGGGCGUAAAGCGUGCGUAGGUGGUUUGUUAAGUCUGUUGUGAAAGCCCCGGGCUCAACCUGGGAAUGGCAAUGGAUACUGGCAGGCUAGAGUGCGGUAGAGGGUAGUGGAAUUCCCGGUGUAGCGGUGAAAUGCGUAGAGAUCAGGAAGAACACCCGUGGCGAAGGCGGCUCUCUGGAACGCAACUGACGCUGAGACGCGAAAGCGUGGGGAGCAAACAGG